CCUUUCGCAUUCAGAUUAAUCUGCCAAAUGAAAUGGUUAUGCAUUCACAUUGCUUUCAAUUAAUCAUGCAUUAUUUCAUAGCUUUGGGAUUUCGAUGGUAUGUUUGUUUUUUAAAAU